CGCCCUUAGAGUUUGAUCCUGGCUCAGGACGAACGCUUGCGGCGUGCCUAAGAAAUGCAAGUCGAGCGGGGUUAUGCGCUGAACGAAGCUUCGGCAGAGUUCUUGUAUAAUCUAGCGGCGAACGGUCGCGUAACACGUAAGCAACCUGCCCUGAAGUGUGGGAUAGCCCUCCGAAAGGAGGAUUAAUACCGCAUGUGGAUAUCUCCCCGCAUGAGGAGACAUCUAAAGCAGCAAUGCGCUUCAGGAUGGGCUUGCGGCCUAUCAGCUAGUUGGUGGGGUAAUGGCCUACCAAGGCGACGACGGGUAGCUGGUCUGAGAAGACGAUCGGCCGGAUUGGGACUGAGAUACGGCCCAGACUCCUACGGGGGGCAGCAAUUAGGAAUCUUGCACAAUGGGGGAAACCCUGAUGCAGCGACGCCGCGUGAGUGAUGAAGUUUUUCGGAAUGUAAAACUCUGUCCUUCGGGGAAGAAGAAUGUGACGGUACCCGAAGAGAAAGCCCCGGCUAACUACGUGCCAGCAGCCGCGGUAAUACGUAAGGGGCGAGCGUUGUCCGAAUUUAUUGGGCGUAAAGCGCGUGUAGGCGGCUCUUUAAGUCAGAUGUGAAAUCCUGCGGCUCAACCGCAGAACUGCAUUUGAUACUGGAGGGCUUGAGUGUGGGAGAGGAAAGUGGAAUUCCAGGUGUAGCGGUGAAAUGCGUAGAUAUCUGGAGGAACACCCGUGGCGAAGGCGGCUUUCUGGCCCACCACUGACGCUGAGACGCGAAGGCUAGGGGAGCGAACGGGAUUAGAUACCCCGGUAGUCCUAGCGGUAAACGAUGGAUACUAGGUGUUAGAGGUAUCGACCCCUCUAGUGCCGUAGCUAACGCAUUAAGUAUCCCGCCUGGGGAGUACGGGCCGCAAGGUUGAAACUCAAAGGAAUUG
rnacentral:rRNA from 1 species